GAUGAACGCUAGCUACAGGCUUAACACAUGCAAGUCGAGGGGCAGCACGGAGAUAGCUUGCUAUCUUGGGUGGCGACCGGCGCACGGGUGAGUAACGCGUAUCAAACCUGCCCAUUACUCUGGGAUAGCCUUGAGAAAGUAAGAUUAAUACCGGAUGUUGUUAAAAACCCGCAUGAGUUUUUAACCAAAGAUUUAUUGGUAAUGGAUGGGGAUGGGUGACAUUAGGUAGUUGGUGAGGUAACGGCUCACCAAGCCGACGAUGUCUAGGGGUUCUGAGAGGAAGGUCCCCCCCACUGGAACUGAGACACGGUCAAGACUCCUACGGGAGGCAGCAGUGAGGAAUAUUGGUCAAUGGACGAGAGUCUGAACCAGCCAAGUAGCGUGCAGGAUGACGGCCCUCUGGGUUGUAAACUGCUUUUAGUUGGGAAUAAAAAGAGGGACGUGUCCCUAAUUGUAUGUACCAUCAGAAAAAGGACCGGCUAAUUUCGUGCCAGCAGCCGCGGUAAAAC
rnacentral:rRNA from 1 species